rnacentral:rRNA from 1 species
UACGUAGGUGGCAAGCGUUGUCCGGAUUUACUGGGCGUAAAGAGCGCGCAGGCGGUCGGAUAAGUCGAAUGUGAAAGCCCCCGGCUCAACUGGGGAGGGUCGUUCGAUACUGUCCGACUAGAAGGCAGGAGAGGGAAGCGGAAUUCCCGGUGUAGUGGUGAAAUGCGUAGAUAUCGGGAGGAACACCAGUGGCGAAGGCGGCUUUCUGGCCUGCUCUUGACGCUGAGGCGCGAAAGCUAGGGGAGCAAAC